rnacentral:misc_RNA from 1 species
UGGUUCUGGCAUCGAUGAAGAACGCAGCGAAAUGCGAUAAGUAAUGUGAAUUGCAGAAUUCAGUGAAUCAUCGAAUCUUUGAACGCACAUUGCGCCCAUUAGUAUUCUAGUGGGCAUGCCUGUUCGAGCGUCAUUACGACCCUUAAGCCCUAGUUGCUUAGUGUUGGGAGCCCUUAGGCGUAACAGCCUAACUCCCCAAAGUCAGUUGGCAGAGUUGCGGCACACUCUGAGCGUAGUAAUUCUUUAUCUCGCUUCUUGCAGUUGCCGUGGCGAUCGCCAUAAACCCCUAUAUUUUCUAGUGGUUGACCUCGGAUCAGGUAGGAAUACCCGCUGA